CGGGGUGUAGCGCAGUCCGGUUAGCGCAUCGCGUUUGGGACGCGAGGGUCGUGGGUUCGAAUCCCGCUACCCCGA
rnacentral:tRNA from 1 species